rnacentral:rRNA from 1 species
ACGAACGCUGGCGGCGUGCCUAAUACAUGCAAGUAGAACGCUGAAGGAGGAGCUUGCUUCUCCGGAUGAGUUGCGAACGGGUGAGUAACGCGUAGGUAACCUGCCUGGUAGCGGGGGAUAACUAUUGGAAACGAUAGCUAAUACCGCAUAACAGUAGAUAUUGCAUGAUAUCUGCUUGAAAGGUGCAAUUGCAUCACUACCAGAUGGACCUGCGUUGUAUUAGCUAGUUGGUGGGGUAACGGCUCACCAAGGCGACGAUACAUAGCCGACCUGAGAGGGUGAUCGGCCACACUGGGACUGAGACACGGCCCAGACUCCUACGGGAGGCAGCAGGAGGGAAUCUUCGGCAAUGGACGGAAGUCUGACCGAGCAACGCCGCGGGAGUGAAGAAGGGUUUCGGAUCGUAAAGCUCUGUUGUAAGAGAAGAACGAGUGUGAGAGUGGAAAGUUCACACUGUGACGGUAUCUUACCAGAAAGGGACGGCUAACUACGUG